GAAGGUAUAGCUCAAUGGUAGAGUGUGUGCUUGGCAUGCAUGAGGUCCUGGGUUUAAUCCCCAGUACCAACA
rnacentral:tRNA from 1 species